GAGGGUAUAGCUCAGUGGUAGAGUGUGUGUUUAGCAUGCACGAGGUCCUGGGUUCAAUCCCCAGUAUCUCCA
rnacentral:tRNA from 1 species